rnacentral:rRNA from 1 species
CCUACGGGUGGCAGCAGUGGGGAAUAUUGGACAAUGGGCGAAAGCCUGAUCCAGCCAUGCCGCGUGUGUGAAGAAGGCCUUCGGGUUGUAAAGCACUUUCAGUGGGGAAGAAAGCCUUGGGGCUAAUACCCUCGAGGAAGGACAUCACCCACAGAAGAAGCACCGGCUAACUCCGUGCCAGCAGCCGCGGUAAUACGGAGGGUGCGAGCGUUAAUCGGAAUUACUGGGCGUAAAGCGCGCGUAGGCGGUCUGAUAAGCCGGUUGUGAAAGCCCCGGGCUCAACCUGGGAACGGCAUCCGGAACUGUCAGGCUAGAGUGCAGGAGAGGAAGGUAGAAUUCCCGGUGUAGCGGUGAAAUGCGUAGAGAUCGGGAGGAAUAUCAGUGGCGAAGGCGGCCUUCUGGACUGACACUGACGCUGAGGUGCGAAAGCGUGGGUAGCAAACAGGAUUAGAUACCCCAGUAGUC